rnacentral:rRNA from 1 species
CACCCAGGACGGUGGAUCACUCGGCUCGUGGGUCUAUGAAGAACGCAGCAAAUUGCGCGUCGACAUGUGAACUGCAGGACACAUGAACAUCGACGUUUCGAACGCACAUUGCGGUCCAUGGAUUCCGUUCCCGGGCCACGUCUGGCUGAGGGUCG